UACGAAGGGUGCAAGCGUUACUCGGAAUUACUGGGCGUAAAGCGUGCGUAGGUGGUCUGUUAAGUCUGAUGUGAAAGCCCCGGGCUCAACCUGGGAACUGCAUUGGAUACUGGCGAUCUGGAGUGCGGUAGAGGGUGGCGGAAUUCCCGGUGUAGCAGUGAAAUGCGUAGAUAUCGGGAGGAACAUCCGUGGCGAAGGCGGCCACCUGGACCAGCACUGACACUGAGGCACGAAAGCGUGGGGAGCAAACAGG
rnacentral:rRNA from 1 species